UCACGAAGGGGGACAAACACACAUGCUUGGUUAGUUGGCCAAACUGUCCUUUUAUUUUUUUCCAAUUUUAAAAACCAAAAAAAAA
rnacentral:sRNA from 1 species